rnacentral:lncRNA from 1 species
CACAGUUUUACUCUAAUUUUGGUCUAGUAUUUUGUUCUUAAUUACUUGGAAAAGAGAACACCUCCAUGGCUGAACUCAUUCUCAAAGAAUGGUCAUAAAUCCUCAAGAUAUUUGAAUCAUUACCCUAACUGCAUAGUUUGCAGGAAGAUGCUGAAAUAAUACAACAAACUACAAAACUUUCAGUAACUUAUAAAUGAACUCAAGCAUUUGUCCCAACCUGUGCAGGACAUUAUGUGCACAGCUGAGACCUUCUAGGGAUCAGCCAAGCAGGUUGUAGAUAGCAUAUUGACAUCAGUUACCUUCAGCUGGAACUGUUGCUGCUAUGGAAGAGUUUCUUAUUAAGUGCUUGAGAAGAAACCUUGAAAAGAAGUCAGAC